CUGAGUUUAGGUUGUGAUGACUUGAGUUAAUUAUAUUGAGAGCAUGUGUUUGCUGAAUGAACAUAUAGUGCAAUUAAUGAUUUAUUUGGCCACUUUUGUGUAAGGUUUUGCAGAAAGAGUUUUGAAUAUUGAAACGUGUGGAAACAGGAACCAGUUUUUGUGUUUAAGCAAUCAAGAAAAACUGAAAUAAAUUGUUGCUGACGAGACGCUGAUCAUGUGAAGAGUUUGGAAGUCAAAUGCCCAAUUGUGGUGCCACCAGACAGCAGAAAACAAGUUGGUACCUCCAGCAGGCAGAGAGGCAAGAACCAUUCUUCCACCAGUUCAGGGACAAGCUACACUAUUCAUAAUACUGUGUAAUGCUCAAUGUAAUUGCAGUGCUGGUCUUUUUUAAACUGAAUGUAUUUGUAUUGUUUAAAAAAUUGACAA